UAAUGGCCCACCUAGGCUUCGACGGGGUAGCCGGCCUGAGAGGGCGGACGGCCACAUUGGGACUGAGAUACGGCCCAGACCCCUACGGGAGGCAGCAGUGGGGAAUAUUGCGCAAUGGGGAAAACCCUGACGCAGCGACGCCGCGUGCGGGAUGAAGGCCUUCGGGUUGUAAACCGCUUUUGAUUGGGGAGCAAGCCUUUUGGGGUGAGUGUACCUUUCGAAUAAGCGCCGGGCUAACUACGUGCCAGCAGCCGCGGGUAAAUA
rnacentral:rRNA from 1 species